rnacentral:rRNA from 1 species
UACGAGGGGGGCUAGCGUUGCUCGGAAUCACUGGGCGUAAAGCGCACGUAGGCGGAUUGCUAAGUCAGGGGUGAAAUCCUGGAGCUCAACUCCAGAACUGCCUUUGAUACUGGCGAUCUUGAGUCCGGGAGAGGUGAGUGGAACUGCGAGUGUAGAGGUGAAAUUCGUAGAUAUUCGCAAGAACACCAGUGGCGAAGGCGGCUCACUGGCCCGGUACUGACGCUGAGGCACGAAAGCGUGGGGAGCAAACAGG